rnacentral:tRNA from 12 species
CGGAGCGUAGCGCAGCCUGGUAGCGCACUUGCUUCGGGAGCAAGGGGUCGGAGGUUCGAAUCCUCUCGCUCCGACCA